rnacentral:lncRNA from 1 species
UAGUGUUUCAUUAAGGAGUUAGAGGCAAUUUAUUAAUGUCUACUCGAAUUGCGGUUGCGAUUGUGGCUUCUCACGCCGCGGCAAAGCGAGUGGCUUUAGAUUAAGCCAUUCUUUAAAAGCAUAGGAUUUGGUGAUCUAGAAACUCGAGAAAUCAGAGUUAGAACGAUGCUUGACCAGAUCGAAUAUGGUGGACCUUUGUGUUCGAUUUUAUAAGCUCUUGAUUUAGUCACAUGUGAAGGUU